rnacentral:rRNA from 1 species
CCUACGGGUGGCAGCAGUGGGGAAUAUUGCACAAUGGGCGCAAGCCUGAUGCAGCGACGCCGCGUGAGGGAUGGAGGCCUUCGGGUUGUGAACCUCUUUCGCCAGUGAAGCAGGCCUGCCUCGUUUGUGGGUGGGUUGACGGUAGCUGGAUAAGAAGCGCCGGCUAACUACGUGCCAGCAGCCGCGGUAAUACGUAGGGCGCGAGCGUUGUCCGGAAUUAUUGGGCGUAAAGAGCUCGUAGGCGGCUGGUCGCGUCUGUCGUGAAAUCCUCUGGCUUAACUGGGGGCUUGCGGUGGGUACGGGCCGGCUUGAGUGCGGUAGGGGAGGCUGGAACUCCUGGUGUAGCGGUGGAAUGCGCAGAUAUCAGGAAGAACACCGGUGGCGAAGGCGGGUCUCUGGGCCGUUACUGACGCUGAGGAGCGAAAGCGUGGGGAGCGAACAGGAUUAGAUACCCCAGUAGUC